AGCUGCCGCGGUAAUUCCAGCUCCAAUAGCGUAUAUUAAAGUUGUUGCAGUUAAAAAGCUCGUAGUUGAAUUUCGGGGUUCUACCGUUGGUCGGGCUUUGUCUGUACUGGCGUGUAGAAUUUCUACCUUCUGGGGAACUAUCAUGUUAUUAAUUUAACGUGGUGGGAAACCAGGACCUUUACCUUGAAAAAAUUAGAGUGUUCAAAGCAGGCUUACGUCUGAAUACAUUAGCAUGGAAUAAUAAAAUAGGACGGUGGUCCUGUUUUGUUGGUUUCUGAAUCACCGUAAUGAUUAAUAGGGAUAGUUGGGGGCAUUAGUAUUCAAUUGUCAGAGGUGAAAUUCUUGGAUUUAU
rnacentral:rRNA from 1 species